rnacentral:ncRNA from 1 species
UUUCUUUCAUGAUAGUUGGAGCUUAUGUAGAAGUUUUAUAAGGUAAAGCAAAUGAUUAGAAGCAUUGGAGAUAUAAUACCUUCAAAUUAUUCUCAAAUUUUUAAUAAGGAAGCUAUCAAGGUUGCUUACUUGAAUCCUAACACAAAAUGAGAGCUCUA